AAAUGAAGUAGUUUAAUGGAAGAACACCGUUUUUUACGGAAGUGUGGGUUCGAGUCCCACCAUUCUUUU
rnacentral:tRNA from 2 species